rnacentral:misc_RNA from 1 species
AACCUAGCACACCUGCGGUGUGUACCUGCGGAAGGAUCAUUACCGAGUUUACAACUCCCAAACCCCUGUGAACAUACCAAUUGUUGCCUCGGCGGAUCAGCCCGCUCCCGGUAAAACGGGACGGCCCGCCAGAGGACCCCUAAACUCUGUUUCUAUAUGUAACUUCUGAGUAAAACCAUAAAUAAAUCAAAACUUUCAGCAACGGAUCU